CAUUACAGAAUUGAUGCACUUUGGCAAGGUUGUGCUGCCUCUGCAAAGGGGAUGUGAACACUGAGCCAUUGUGUCUAUUCAUCCACACACACCCUUGCUUCAUUGCAAGUUCACAUAUAUGCCUUUAAAACAUAAAAAGAAUGCAAAUGAAUUGUCAUUUUUGAACAACUAUCAGCAACGGAUCUCUUGGCAUUCCACUCGAUGAAGAACGCAGCGAAUUGCGAUAAGUAAUGUGAAUUGCAGAAUUCAGUGAAUCAUCGAAUCUUUGAACGCAUCUUGCACUCUUUAGUAUUCUGAAGAGUAUGCCCGGUUGAGUAUCAUGAUCUCCUCAAUCCCCCUUCCUUUUAUUAGGCUGGGAUGAUUGGACAGUAAGCAUGUGUGGUAGGCCCCUAGGGUGACCACUUGCUUGAAAUGCAUUAGCUGGAGGCCAUCUGGAACGCCAGACACUUGUGAUAAGGUCAUCAAGUCUGUCUGUGUGAGCCACCUCUGCUCCUAAACACCCCCAUUGUGUUAUAUCUCAGAUCUCAACUCGGGUAGGAUUACCCGCUGAACUUAAGCAUAUCA
rnacentral:rRNA from 1 species